rnacentral:lncRNA from 1 species
GUUCUCUAAGUAAGCCACCGUUGGAGGAGCUAAGCAACAGCGAAUUUUUAUCAGAGGCCACUCCUAGAAAUUUAGUUUCAGGUCAUGUAUCGUUGAGUGUAGCUUGCACGAAAUCAAAGAAUAUUUCUGAUUAGAACCUUUCUCAAUUACUUUAUUGUCUUUUAAAUUUAUUUUGUUUGUUAGAGACAAUUUUCUUUUCAGUGCAAUGUACAUGGUGAGGUCC